CACCCAGGACGGUGGAUCACUCGGCUCGUGGGUCGAUGAAGAACGCAGCAAAUUGCGCGUCGACAUGUGAACUGCAGGACACAUGAACAUCGACGUUUCGAACGCACCAUUGCGGUCCAUGGAUUCCGUUCCCGGGCCACGUCUGGCUGAGGGUCG
rnacentral:rRNA from 1 species